GAGUAAAGGCUCAGGCGCUUCGAGAUGGGCCCGCGGCCUAUCAGCUAGUUGGUAGGGUAAUGGCCUACCAAGGCGAAGACGGGUAGGGGGCGUGAGAGCGUGACCCCCCACACUGGCACUGAGAUACGGGCCAGACUCCUACGGGAGGCAGCAGUGAGGGAUAUUGCGCAAUAGAGGAAACUCCGACUGCAGCUGACGCUCGCGAUGGAGUGACUGAGAGGCCCUUCGGCGUUGGUAUAAGCCCCCUUUUCUGGGGUGAAGAGAAAGGACGGUACCCCAGGAAUAAGCCCCGGCUAACUACGUGCCAGCAGCCGCGGUAAAACGUAGGGGGCGAGCGUUAUCCGGAUUUACUGGGCGUAUAGAGCGUUGAGGCGGUUCUGCAAGUUGGGCGUGAAACCCCCCGGGCCCAACCCGGGGAAGCCGUUCAAUACUGCAGGACUUGAGGGCAGCAGAGGGAGGUGGAAUUCCCGGUGUAGCGGUGAAAUGCGUAGAUAUCGGGAGGAACACCAGUGGCGAAGGCGGCCUCCUGGGCUGUUCCUGACGCUGAAUGCGAAAGCUAGGGUAGCGAACGGGAUUAGAAACCCCGGUAGUCCUAGCUGUAAACGAUGGAUGCUAGAUGUAGGGGGUGUAGAUUCCCUCUGUGUCGUAGCUAACGCGUUAAGCAUCCCGCCUGGGGACUACGGCCGCAAGGCUAAAACUCAAACGAAUUGACGGGGGCCCGCACAAGCAGCGGAGCGUGUGGUUUAAUUCGAUGCUACACGAAGAACCUUACCUGGGCUUGACAUGUAGGUAGUAGCGAAGCGAAAGCGGAGCGACCCUUCGGGGAGCCUACACAGGUGCUGCAUGGCAGUCGUCAGCUCGUGCCGUGAGGUGUCGGGUUAAGUCCCGUAACGAGCGCAACCCCUGCUCUUAGUUAUACGUGUCUAAGAGGACUGCCGGCGGCAAGCCGGAGGAAGGUGGGGAUGACGUCAAGUCAGCAUGGCCUUUAUGUCCAGGGCUACACACACGCUACAAUGGCCGAUACAAUGGGUUGCGAA
rnacentral:rRNA from 1 species